GCACAAAAUGCGAUAUCCGUUGUGUUAUUCAGUCAUGUUUUCUCCCUUUCUUUCUAAAACGCGACAAAAGCCAGUCUCCUUUCUCUGCAGAACGCGAUAUAUCCGCUCAACCAAUCACAGCGCUCCAUUCCACGCAUUGUAAACAGAAAUGGCGGCUCUCUGAAUGCCGGCAUCCUAGUUUCCCUAUCUGCUUUGUACUUUGUGAUCAACAAAAACAGAAAAAUGAAUAAUUUUGACGGCAUUGAUGAACCUGUGGUGGUUUCUGCGGUGUGGAAGAAACGUCACAUGUCUUAUAGGACAGUUCUCAACUGUGGCAGGACCCUGAUUUGAAACUGAACAUGAAGAGACUCCCAAGACUCACCUGUUUUACUGAUUCCUCUCAGCUCUUCGGCUUCGUCCAUGCUGCUGACUCCUCCCAGCUCAUUGGCUCCACCUCAGACCCCCUCACCACCAGUGCAAUGCUAUGAAGUGGAUCCCCUGGCUUCACCUUGGGCUUCCAGGCCCAUUAAUUUGGCUCUGCCUUGGCUCUACGCUCCCUCAGCUCCACCUUGGUCUCUCGUUAUCCUGGUUUUUGGACUUCAGCUCCAUCUCUUUGCCUCCACCGGGCUCCUCCUUCUCUCCGGUUCCACCUCGGUCCUCACUCCCUUUGGUGUCACCCUGUUCUGCAGGACCCUUGACAUCGCCUUGUCCACUCAAGCCAGCAGCAUCGCUUAGAACUCGCUGUCCUGCGAUGUCGUACUGGACCAUUGAUCACCUUCGAUUCCACAGAGGUCUCCAUCUGUCUGCCCCAAGGCUCUUCCCAAGAGGUCUUUCAGGGCUCCACCUUGGCUCCUCCCUCCCUUAUCUCCGCUAUGGCAAUCUCUUCUAAUUCCCUGCCCUUCACCUGCUCUAUGUUUUCCACAUCCUUCACCAAAGCCCCCUCUUUUCUUGUGGUUUAGUUCCUGUUUCUAUAGUCAACAAGUUCUCCUUGUUUGUUACCUUGGUUACUAAUUAAUCCCACCUAUAUGUUUAGUUCUCUGUGUAUCAGUACUCCCUGUUUUGCUCAUUCCUUUGUCGGUUCUGAUCGCUUAGUUAAUGUAGUAUGUGUUAUUUUCCUUGCGAGCAUUCUCUUAUUAAAAAUAUCUCUUUGGACUUCCUGCGUCAUGCAUA